rnacentral:lncRNA from 1 species
UUCCAGACACCGGGGAAAUGAGGCAGAGGCUGACGCCGAGCAGCUCGGGGAACCCAUUCCCUGUUCCCCUGUGGAUGGACCUGGUACAGAAAAGUUAUUCCUGACACUUGUUAACGCUCUUCUCUCCUCCCCUGCCCGUAGCAGAACACCAAGAUUGCCACUCAGAGGAAAAGACCACAUCGUCUCAGCUCAUGUGGCCUCAGAGAUGCAUGACUUGUCAACAGUGCCUGCAUGAAGAGCAGCAAGAGAUUAAGCAGCCAUUGUAGACCUUCAGGCAAGAUGCUGGGAUGAAGAGCAAGAGAGGCUCUAGCAAGAGAGGCUUCUAGCUCCUGUAAGCCUCUAUUUUGAGGUUUUCUGCUAUAGGCCGCUAUCUUUGAUCAUAUUAACAAUUAUGGAUU